rnacentral:lncRNA from 1 species
UUCUUUUCCAGUUAACAUUACAUACAGUCUGCAGUUAAAGUUUAUAAAACAUUUAUUAGAUUCAUAAAUUAUCCUGGAUUUUUUACCAAACUUGGAAGCUUCUUUCAAUCAAAGGACAGUAUCGAGAGGGAAUUUUUUAUUGAUGUUUUUCCUCAUUUUUGUUGAGUCUGCGAUUAACAGCAAAAGUAGGCGAGACACUGGGUUCCGUGGAACCCUUACGAAUUUUAUAAUCAUGCACCAAAAAUGACCUUUAUGUCAUUUGGCAAGAAGGUACACCCAUUACAAUCCUCGGUUGUAGUCAAGAAGGUACACCCAUUACAAUCCUCAGUUGUAGUCAGUUGUAGUAGGUACACCCAUUACAAUCCUCUCGGUUGUAGUCAAGAAGGUACACCCAUUACAAUCCUCAGUUGUAGUCAAGAAAGGUUACACCCAUUACAAUCCUCAGUUGUAGUCAAGAAGGUACACCCAUUACAAUCCUCGGUUGUAGUCAAGAAGGUACACCCAUUACAAUCCUCGGUUGUAGUCAAGAAGGUACACCCAUUACAAUCCUCGGUUGUAGUCAAGAAGGUACACCCAUUUCAACCCUCGGUUGUAGUUGAAAAUGUUCAAUCAAGUGAAAUCUGAAAUAGAAAUGUUAAACAGGAAAUAAAUGAAGUGAAAUCUAUAUCAACAAUUUGGAGAACAAGAAUAAUCAUUCAGUAUUUUAGAAUAUUAAAUUAUUUCUGAAAGAUUUAGACAAAAAAUGUGACACUUGGUGAUUAUUUCCUUCACACUUUGUUGUUGAGUUUUUAUACGACCGCAAAAAUUGAAAAUUUUUUGGUUGUAUAUUGGUAUGAUGUUAGCGUCGUCGUCAGCGUCGUCGUCUGCGUCGUCGUCGUCCGAAUACUAUUAGUUUUAGCACUCUAACUUUAGUAAAAGUGAAUAGAAAUCUAUGAAAUUUUAACACAAGGUUUAUGACCACAAAAGGAAGGUUGGGAUUGAUUUUGGGAGUUUUGGUCCCAAUAUUUUAGGAAUUAGGGGCCAAAAAGGGCCCAAAUAAGCAUUUUCUUGGUUUUUGCACUAUAACUUUAGUUUAAGUAAAUAGAAAUCUAUGAAAUUUUAACACAAGGUUUAUGACCACAAAAGGAAGGUUGGGAUUAAUUUUGGGAUCUUUGGUUCCAACAGUUUAGGAAUUAGGGGCCAAAAAAGGGCCCAAAUAAGCAUUAUUCUUGGUUUUCGCACAAUAACUUUAUUAUAGUAAAUAGAAAUCAAUGAAAUGUAAACAAGGUUUAUGACCACAAAAGGAAGGUUGGGAUUGAUUUUGGGAGUUGUGGGCCCAACAGUUUAGGAAUAAGGGGCCAAAAAGGGGCCCAAAUAAGCAUUAUUCUUGGUUUUCGCACCAUAACUUUAGUAUAAGUAAAUAGAAAUCUAUGAAAUUUAAACACAAGGUUUAUGGCCAUAAAAGGAAGGUUGGGUUUGAUUUUGGGAGUUUUGGUCCCAACAGUUUAGGAAUAAGGGGCCCAAAGGGUCC